AGAGUUUGAUCCUGGCUCAGGAUGAACGCUAGCUACAGGCUUAACACAUGCAAGUCGAGGGGCAGCAUGGUCUUAGCUUGCUAAGGCCGAUGGCGACCGGCGCACGGGUGAGUAACACGUAUCCAACCUGCCGUCUACUCUUGGACAGCCUUCUGAAAGGAAGAUUAAUACAAGAUGGCAUCAUGAGUUCACAUGUUCACAUGAUUAAAGGUAUUCCGGUAGACGAUGGGGAUGCGUUCCAUUAGAUAGUAGGCGGGGUAACGGCCCACCUAGUCUUCGAUGGAUAGGGGUUCUGAGAGGAAGGUCCCCCACAUUGGAACUGAGACACGGUCCAAACUCCUACGGGAGGCAGCAGUGAGGAAUAUUGGUCAAUGGGCGAGAGCCUGAACCAGCCAAGUAGCGUGAAGGAUGACUGCCCUAUGGGUUGUAAACUUCUUUUAUAAAGGAAUAAAGUCGGGUAUGCAUACCCGUUUGCAUGUACUUUAUGAAUAAGGAUCGGCUAACUCCGUGCCAGCAGCCGCGGUAAUACGGAGGAUCCGAGCGUUAUCCGGAUUUAUUGGGUUUAAAGGGAGCGUAGAUGGAUGUUUAAGUCAGUUGUGAAAGUUUGCGGCUCAACCGUAAAAUUGCAGUUGAUACUGGAUAUCUUGAGUGCAGUUGAGGCAGGCGGAAUUCGUGGUGUAGCGGUGAAAUGCUUAGAUAUCACGAAGAACUCCGAUUGCGAAGGCAGCCUGCUAAGCUGCAACUGACAUUGAGGCUCGAAAGUGUGGGUAUCAAACAGGAUUAGAUACCCUGGUAGUCCACACGGUAAACGAUGAAUACUCGCUGUUUGCGAUAUACAGCAAGCGGCCAAGCGAAAGCGUUAAGUAUUCCACCUGGGGGAGUACGCCCGGCAACGGUGAAACUCAAAAGGAAUUGACGGGGGGCCCGCACAAGCGGAGGAACCAUGUGGGUUUAAAUCCGAUGAUACCCCGAGGAACCUUACCCCGGGCUUAAAUUUGCGAAAAAAUUACCGUGGAAAACCCUUAGGCCCCAAGGGAUCCUUUGAAAGGGCUCGCCUGGGUUGUCGUCCACCUCCUGGCCCCGGAAGGUGGCGGCUUUAAUGGCCUAACCAAGCCGAACCCCUUGUUUGGAUUUUACAACAAAGGUCCCGCUGAAGGACUUUGAAAAGACUGCCAUCGUAAGAUGUGAGGAAGGUGGGGAUGACGUCAAAUCAGCACGGCCCUUACGUCCGGGGCUACACACGUGUUACAAUGGGGGGUACAGAGGGCCGCUACCACGCGAGUGGAUGCCAAUCCCCAAAACCUCUCUCAGUUCGGACUGGAGUCUGCAACCCGACUCCACGAAGCUGGAUUCGCUAGUAAUCGCGCAUCAGCCACGGCGCGGUGAAUACGUUCCCGGGCCUUGUACACACCGCCCGUC
rnacentral:rRNA from 1 species